rnacentral:rRNA from 1 species
CUUAUAGGCAAGAGGGGGACACAGGAAGGUAAGUGGGGCGUGCCCAUUGGACAUGGUGCGUCUCCAAUCUUAGCCCCGAUUUAUCGGGGUAAGGAGCGGGGGAAGUUGAGGGGAGACCCGAUGCGACUCCACUGAUCUUAAACUGUCUAGAAAAGCCCAUUGCUUGAAGUGAGCGCCCGUACCGCAAACCGACACUGGUAGGUGAGGAUAAGUAUCCUAAGGUGAUCGAGAGAACCCUCGUUAAGGAACUCGGCAAAAUUACCCCGUAACUUAGGGAGAAGGGGUCCCCAAGAUAAUUGGGGCGCAGUGAAAUGGCCCAAGCGACUGUUUAACAAAAACACAGGUCUCUGCAAACUCGUAAGAGGAAGUAUAGGGGCUGACACCUGCCCAGUGCUGGAAGGUUAAGGGGAGAGGUUAGUGAUGGUUUACUAUUGCGAAGCUUUGAACCGAAGCCCCAGUGAACGGCGGCCGUAACUAUAACGGUCCUAAGGUAGCGAAGUCCCUUGUCGGGUAAGUUCCGACCCGCACGAAAGGUGUAACGACUUGGGCGCUGUCUCAACGAGGGACUCGGCGAAAUUGCAAUACCCGUGAAGAUGCGGGUUACCCGCGACUGGACAAAAAGACCCCGUGGAGCUUUACUACAGCUUGGCAUUGGGUUGAGGUUUCUGAUGUGUAGGAUAGGUGGGAGGCUGGGAAACUGGGGCGUCAGUUCCGGUGGAGCCAAUGGUGAAAUACCACCCUUCUUUGGUCUCGGUCCUAACCCCUGAGCAAGCAGGGGGAAAGUGCCUGGUGGGUAGUUUGACUGGGGCGGUUGCCUCCUAAAAGGUAACGGAGGCGCCCAAAGGUCCCCUCAAGGUGGAUGGAAAUCACCUGAAGAGUGUAUUGGCAGAAGGGGGCUUGACUGUAAGACCUACAAGUCGAGCAGGGACGAAAGUCGGGCAAAGUGAUCCCACGGCGCCGUGUGGAAGGGCCGUGGCUUAACGGAUAAAAGCUACCCCGGGGAUAACAGGCUAAUUUUGCCCAAGAGUUCACAUCGACGGCAAAGUUUGGCACCUCGAUGUCGGCUCGUCGCAUCCUGGGGCUGGAGCAGGCCCCAAGGGUUGGGCUGUUCGCCCAUUAAAGCGGCACGCGAGCUGGGUUCAGAACGUCGUGAGACAGUUCGGUCUCUAUCCGUCGUGGGCGUAGCAGAUUUGAGGGGAGCUCUCUCUAGUACGAGAGGACCGAGAGGGACAGACCUCUAGUGUGCCAGUUGUCGUGCCAUCGGCACCGCUGGGUAGCCAAGUCUGGCCAGGAUAAGCGCUGAAAGCAUCUAAGUGCGAAGCCAGCCCCAAGAUAAGAUCUGCCACCGGGUUAACCGGGUAAGACCGCAGCGAGACUAGCUGUUUGAUAGGCCGCAGGUGUAAGGCGUGCAAGCGCUUCAGCUAAGCGGUACUAACGGUCGAGGGCUUGACCUA